rnacentral:piRNA from 1 species
UCUGAGGAUGUCCUGUUCUGGACG